rnacentral:rRNA from 1 species
GAUGAACGCUGGCGGCGUGCCUAACACAUGCAAGUCGAGCGGAGAUUAAGAAGCUUGCUUCUUAAUCUUAGCGGCGGACGGGUGAGUAACGCGUGGGUAACCUGCCCUAUACACACGGAUAACAUAUCGAAAGAUAUGCUAAUACGAGAUAAUACAUUUUUAAGGCAUCUUAGAAAUGUCAAAGAUUUUAUCGGUGUAGGAUGGACCCGCGUCCCAUUAGCUAGUUGGUGAGGUAAAAGCUCACCAAGGCGACGAUGGGUAGCCGACCUGAGAGGGUGAUCGGCCACACUGGAACUGAGACACGGUCCAGACUCCUACGGGAGGCAGCAGUGGGGAAUAUUGCACAAUGGGGGAAACCCUGAUGCAGCAACGCCGCGUGAGCGAUGAAGGCCUUCGGGUCGUAAAGCUCUGUCCUAAGGGAAGAUAAUGACGGUACCUUAGGAGGAAGCCCCGGCUAACUACGUG